rnacentral:lncRNA from 10 species
GAGAUUUUCUACCUUUUCAUUUAGCCAUACAUCAGAAGGCUAUAAUUUUAAUAAAGUACAAUUUGUGAAUUUUUUUUCAUAGAUCAUACUUUGUUUGUUUGUUUGUUUGAGACAGAGUUUCACUCUGUUGCCCAGGCUAGAGUGCAGUGGUGUGAUCUCGGCUCACUACAGCCUCUGCUUCCCCAUUUCAAGUGACUCUCAUACCUCAGCCUCCCGAGUAGCUGGAAUUACAGGUGUGCACCACCAGGCCCAGCUAAUUUUUUCUAUUUUUAGUAGAGAUGGGGUUUCACUGUGUUGCCAAGGCUAGUCUUGAACUCUUGGCCUCAAAUGAUCCACCCACCAGAGCCUCCCAAAGUGUUGGAAUUACAGGCAUGACCACCACACCCAGCCUCCAUAGAUCAUACUUUUGAUGUUAUAUUUAAAAACUCAUCACCAAAACCAAGAUUUAUCAGAUUUUCUCUUAUGUUACUGAUAUGGUUUGGCUGUAUUCCCACCCAAAUCUCAUCUUGAAUUCCCAUGUAUUGUGGGAGGGAUCCAGUGGGAGGUAAUUGAAUCAUGGGGGCAAGUCUUUCCCAUGCUAUUCUCAUGAUAGUGAAUAAGUCUCAUGAGAUCUCAUGGUUUUUAAAAGAGGAAUUCUCCUGCACAAGCUCUCUCCUCUUUGCUUGCCAAUAUCCAUGUAAGAUGUGACUUGCUCCUCCUUGCCUUCCACCGUGAUUGUGAGGCUUCCUCAGCCACAUGGGACUGUAAGUCCAAUUAAAACUUUUUCUUUUGUAAAUUGCUCAGUCUCAGGUAUGUCCUUAUCAGCAGCAUGAAAACAGACUAAUACAGUAAAUUGGUACCAGUAGAGUGGGGUGCUGCUGAAAAGAUACCUGAAAAUGUGGAAGCUACUUUGGAACUUGGUAGCAGACAGAGGUUGGAACAGUUUGGAGGGCUCAGAAGAAGACAGGAAAAGUUUGGAACUCCCUAGGGACUUGUAGAAUGGCAUCAACAAAAUGCUGAUAAUGAUAUGCACAAUGAAAUCCAGGCUGAGGUGGUCUCAGAUGGAGAUGAGGAACUUGGUGGGAACUGGAGCAAAGGUGACUCUUGUUAUGUUUUAGCAAAGAGACUGGUGGCAUUUUGCCCUUGCCCUAGAGAUUUGUGUAAAUUUGAACUUGAGGGAGAUGAUGGUAUCUAGCAGAAGAAAUUUCUAAGUAGCAAAACAUUCAAGAGGUGACUUGGGUGCUGUUAAAGGUGUUCAGUUUUAAAAGGGAAGCAGAGAAUAAAAGUUCAGAAAAUUUGCAGCCUGAUCAAAUGUGGUAGGAAAGAAAAUCCCAUGUUCUAAGGAGAAUUUCAAGCUGGCUGCAGAAAUUUGCAUAAGUAACAAGGAGCCAAAUGUUAACCACCAAAACAAUGGGGAAAAUGUCUCCAGGGUGUCAGAGACCUUCAUGGCAGCCCCUCCCAUCACAGGCCCAAAGGUUUAGGAGGAAAAAAUGGUUUUGUGGGCUGGGCCCAGGGUCCCUCUGCUGUGUGCAGUCUAGGAACUUGGUGCCCUGCAUCCCAGCUGCUCCAGCUGUGACUAAAAAGGGCCAAGGUACAGCUCAGGCUGUUGCUUCAGAGGGUGGAAGCCCCAAGCCUUGGCAGCUUCCACAUGGUGUAGAGCCUGUGGUUACACAGAAAGUCAAGAAUUGAGGUUUGUAAACCUCCCCCUAGAUUUCAGAGGAUGUAUGGAAAUGCCUCGAUGUCCAUGCAAAAAUUUGUAAGGGCAGGGCCCUCAUGGAGAACCUCUGCUAGGGCAGUGCAGAGGGAAAUGUGGAGUCAGAGCCCCCACACAGAGUCCCUACUGGGGCACUGCAUAGUGGAGCUGUGAGAAAAGAGUUACCAUCCUCCAGACCCCAGAAUGAUAGAUCCACUGACAGCUUUCACAGUGCACCUGGAAAAGCCACAGACACUCAACACCAGCCCGUGAAAGCAGACAGGAGGGGGGCUAUACCCUGCAAAGCCACAGGAGCAGAACUGCCCAAGACCAUAGGAACCCACCUCUUGCAUCAGUGUGACCCAGAUGUGAGACAUGGAGUCAAAGGAGAUCAUUUUGGAGCUUUGAGAUUUGACUGCCCUGUUGUAUUUCAGACUUCUAUGGGGGCCUGUAGCCCCUUUGUUUUAGACAAUUUCUUUCAUGUGGAGUGGCUGUAUUUACCCAAUACCUGUACCCCCAUUGUAUCUAGGAAGUAACUAACUUGCUUUUGAUUUUACAGGCUUAUAGGUGGAAGGGACUUGUCUCCAAUGAACUUUGGAUGGUGGGCUUCUGAGUUAAUGCUGAAAUGAGUUAAGACUUUGGGGGACUGUUGGGAAGGCAUGAUUGGUUUUGAAAUGUGAGGAUGCAAGAUUUGGGAAUGGCCUGGGGCAGAAUGAUAUGGUUUGGCUCUGUCCCCACCCAAAUCUCAUAUUGAAUUCCCGUGUGUUGUGGGAGGGACCCAGUCAGAGGUACCUGAAUCAUGGCGGCAAGCCUUUCCCAUGCUGUUCUCAUGAUAGUGAAUAAGUCUCAUGAGAUCUGAUGGUUUUAAAAAGAGGAAUUCCCCUGCACGAGCUCCCUCUCUUUGCCUGCCACCAUCCACGUAACUUGUGACUUGCUCCUCCUCGCCUUCUGCCAUGAUUCUGAGGCUUUCCCAGCCAUGUGGAACUGUAAGUCCAAUUAAACCUCUUUCUUUUGUAAACUGCCCAGUUUUUAUCUUUAUCAGCAGCAUGAAUACAAAUACAGUUAGCUUCUAGAGGUUUUAUAAUUUUUGCAUUGUACAUUUAGCUGUAUGAUCCAUUUUCAGUUAGUAUUUGUAGGAGCAAGAUUUGUGUGUAGAUUCCUUUUUUUUUUUUUUUUUUUUUUUUGCAUGUGCACAUCCAGUUGUUCCAGCAUCAUUUGUUGAACAGGCUCUCCCUUCUCCAUUGAAUUGCUUUGUUCCUUUGGUGUGGGUCUAUUUCUGGGCUCUUCAUUCUGUUCCAUUGAUCCAUGGGUCUGUUGUUUUGUCAGUUCCAUGCUGUCUUGAUUUCUAUGGCUUUGUAGUAAGUCUUGGAGUCAGGGGGUGUCAGUCCUCCAGCUUUAUAGUUGUUUUGUGCUUUCAUUUUUGGAAGGUUAUCAAUUAUUGACUCAAUUUCUUUAAUAGAUAUAGGCUUAUCAAGAUUAUUGUUUCUUGUGUGAGUUUUGGUAGUUUAUAUCUUUCAAGGAAUUGGCCUAUUUCAUCUAGGUUAUCAAAUUUAUGGCAACAGUUGUUCGUGAUAUUCCUUUAUCAUCCUUUUAAUAUCCAUGGGAUCAGUAUUGAUGACCCCUCUUUAACUUCUGAUACAGUAGUCCCCCAUUGUUAGUGGCUCAAUUUCUGUGAACUUUAGUUAUCUGUGGUCAACAAGAGCCUAAAAAUAUUAAAUGGAAAAUUCCAGAAAUAAACAAUUCAUAAGUUUUAAAUUAUGAAUUUAUGCACCCUUUUUAGUAUCAUAAUGAAAUUUCGCGUUGUCCUGCUCCAUCCAGCCCAGCUCCAUCCCUUUUGUCCAACAUAUGCAUGCUGUGUAUGCCACCUGCCUGUUAGUCAUUGACAUCAUUUGCUCCCGACAUGCUGUCAUCAAUGUCAGCAUGGUUUGAUGAUCCAGGAUCACCUGAAGUAGAUGAUCCUCCUUCUGAUAUAUUGUGGCCUAACAAUAUAGGCCAAUGUUGAAAUGGCCACUGCAAAAUUAUAACUGAGGCAGUGAAAAGAGAUCUGACCUGGCCGGGUGCUGUGGCUCAUGCCUGUAAUCCCAGAAUUCUGGGAGGCCGAGGUGAGGGAAUCACCUGAGGUCAGGGGUUCAAGACCAGCCUGGCCAACAUAGUGAAACCCCGUCUCUAGUAAAAAUACAAAAACUAGCCAGGCGUAGUGGUGCAUGCCAGUAGUCCCAGCUACUCAGAAGGCUGAGGCAGGAGAAUUGCUUGAACCAAGAAGGCUGAAGUUGCAGUGAGCUGAGAUCCUGCCACUGCACUCCAGCCUGGGCGACAAAGUGAAACUCCAUCUCAAAAAAAAAGAAAGAGAUCUGACCUAACCAAUUCCAUCUUACUUUUAACCUCCAAGCUAUCCUUGUUCAUUCCUGACCAUAGGACAAACUAUUAAUAACUUUAUUAAUAACUUUGGGAGGAACUUAGUUUACAGUUUAAAACAAAGACAAUAACAGCCUUUUCCCAAAACAAAGCCUCUUCUUGGCUGGGGACUAGACUGCCUUUGUAGGACUAAUAAAUUAGCCGAAAGAUUAGAAAUUAUGGUUUAGGAGUCAUGCAGCUGGAAGCUACAAGAUUCUGACCAUCCCCAAAGAACUACUGGGGAAAUUAUCACCAUUGUAAAACCUGAGAUCAGUGCUUGUGAUAUUUUGCAGGUCAGCUGGCACCACCCAGAUUCAUAAACUGAGUCAUCUGAUCUUAUGGCCCCAACCCAGGAACUGACUCAGCGUUAAGAGGACAGCUUUGGCCCUGUUUUGUUUGUUUUUUUGUUUUUUUGAGACAGGGUCUCACUCUGUCACCCAGGCUGGAGUGCAGUGACACGAUCUCGGCUUACUGCUACCUCUACCUCCCAGGCUAAAGGCAUCCUCCUGCCUUAGCCUCUGGAGUAGCUGGGACUACAGGUGUGAGCCAACAUGCCUAGCUAAUUUUUGCAUUUUUUGUAGAGAUGGGGUUUUGCCAUGUUGCCUAAGCUGGUCUCAAACUUCUGAGCUCAAUCAAUCAGUCUGCCUCAGCCUUCCAAAGUGCUGGGACUAUAGGCAUGAACCACCACUGCCUGGCCCUAUGAUUUCAUCUCUGACCCAACCAAUCAGCACUCCCAACUUACUGGUUCUCCACCCACCAAAUUAUCCUUAAAAACUCUGAUCCCUGAAUGCUCAGGAAGACUGAUUAGAGUAAUAAUAAAACUCCAGUUUCCAGCACAGCCGGCUGUGUGAAUUACUCUUUCUCUAUUGCAAUUCCUCUGUCUGGAUAAAUUGGCUCUCUGUAGGCAGCAGGAAGCAGAUGCUAAGGAAUGUUCAUUGGCUGAAUGAAUGAACAAGCAAAGAAACGCAGCUGUCCGAGGUGAUGUGUGGAAUUUCCAAGCCCCAGGAGGUUAAGCGGGUUGUUGAAGGUCGCAGAGCCAGACAGCAGUGAGUUGCACCAUCACAGCUUACUGCAGCCUCGACCUCCUGGGCUCAAGUGAUCCUCCUGCCUUGGCCUCACAAAGUGCUGGGAUUACAGGUGUGAGCCCACGCCCAGCCCGAGAACAUUUUUUAUAGCAAAGGGAUCCAUUCAGAAUCACACACUGCAUUUACUUGGCAAGACUCUUACUCUCCUUCAGUCUGAAAAAGUUCCUUAAUCUUUUCUUAACUAUCAUGACCUUGGUCCUAUAAAGAUGACCAACCAGUUACUGUGUAGAAUGAACCUCAGCCUGAGUUUGUCUGUUGUUUCCUUUUGAUCAGAUUUAGAUGAGGCAUCUUUGGCAUGAACAUCACAGAAGUGCAGCUGUAUUCUUUUCAUUGCAUCCUAUCAGGUGGCGCCAUUUUGGAUUGCCCCAUUGCUGGUGAUGCUCACUUUGUUACUGGAUUAAGGCAAUGUUGGCCAGCCUCCUCCACUGUGAAGUUAUUAAUAAAAUCUGGGGGCAGUUACUUUGAGACAAUGUAAAUAUUCCACUUUUCCUUUUUUUUUUUGAAACAGGGUCUAGCUCUGUCACUCAGGCUGGAGUGCAGUGGGACAAUCACGGCUCAUUUCAGCCUCUGCCUCCUGGGCUCAAAUGAUCCUCCCACCUCAGCCUCUUAAGUAUCUGGGACUACAGGCACUUGCCACUAUGCUCGGCUAAUUUUUGUAAUUUUUGUGGAGAUGGGGUUCACCAUGUUGCCCGGGCUGGUCUUGAAUUCCUGGGCUCAAGUGAUCCACCCACCUUAGCCUCCCAAGUGCUGGGAUUACAGGCAUGAGCCACUGUGCCUGACCCCAUUACUCCUUAAUCAUUUCAUUUAUUUGUUUGCUUAUUUAUUUAUAUUAGUAUGAACUCAUUGCUUCCUAUUUUAUCCAAGGGUUUAUAAUCUAUUACUCUCAUUAUUUAUCUUGAUGCUCAAGUUGUCCCAGAUUUGGCUCGUGGGAGCUUCUUCAAGCCAGCUUCUGUGUCCUCCUUUAAGUGCUUCCUUGCUUUCUGGUUUAAUAAGAUAUCUCGGGUUCAUAUGGUACUUUCCCAGGCUCGGCCUUGGAAUUAGACAUUUCUCUAAGGCAUUCUAAUUCCUUUUAGCAUAGAGUUGUGUUUAGAAGUCAAGAUCCAUGCCCUAGGCAAACUCACUGCCAGG